UGGUAGAUGCACCCUAAUUAAUUUACAGCCCUCAGCCCUAGGUUGGGGGCUUUUUUA
rnacentral:sRNA from 1 species